rnacentral:rRNA from 1 species
UACGUAGGGAGCUAGCGUUAUCCGGAAUUACUGGGCGUAAAGGGUGCGUAGGUGGUUUCUUAAGUCAGAGGUGAAAGGCUACGGCUCAACCGUAGUAAGCCUUUGAAACUGGGAAACUUGAGUGCAGGAGAGGAGAGUGGAAUUCCUAGUGUAGCGGUGAAAUGCGUAGAUAUUAGGAGGAACACCAGUUGCGAAGGCGGGUCUCUGGGCCUUACCUGACGCUGAGGAGCGAAAGCAUGGGUAGCCAACAGGAUUAGAUACCCCUGUAGUUCCUGAGCGGG